CCAAUAGCGUAUAUUAAAGUUGUUGCAGUUAAAAAGCUCGUAGUUGAAUUUUGGAUUCUGCCAGUCGGUCCAUCUUUUGAUGAGUACUGGUUGUGCGGGGUCUAUCCGCCUGGGGAUACGUAAUGUACUUUAUUGUAUGUUGCGGGUAGCCAGGACCUUUACCUUGAAAAAAUUAGAGUGUUUAAAGCAGGCUUAUGCCGGAAUACAUUAGCAUGGAAUAAUAGAAUAGGACGAUGUUGUUUUAUUUUGUUGGUUUCUAGGACAACCGUAAUGAUUAAUAGGGAUAGUUGGGGGCAUUAGUAUUCAAUUGUCAGAGGUGAAAUUCUUGGAUUUAUUGAAGACUAACUACUGCGAAAGCAUUUGCCAAGGAUGUUUUCAUUAAUCAAGAACGAAAGUUAGGGGAUCGAAGACGAUCAGAUACCGUCGUAGUCUUAACCAUAAACUAUGCCGACUAGGGAUCGGGCGAUGUUGUUUCCAUGACUCGCUCGGCACCUUAUG
rnacentral:rRNA from 1 species